UGCUAAGUAGAAAUCCAAGUCAGGGCAGUGACCAACUGACCAUAGGAGUUCCAAGCAGAAAAUUGUUGCAAGAUUUUAAUAUAGAGAAGAGAGAAGAAGAAGAUAGAUUGAAAACAAAGUAUAUUUUUUCAUUCAUUCUUUUGCAAAAUAAGAGUUUACUUGACCUCAAGGUAGUUGUAACCAUAACUCAAAGAUAACAAAACAAGUAAAAGAAAAUCUCAAACUUGACUUCAACUAACGAUCUAUGUAGGAACUUCUUGUAGUUAGCAGCAUUAUUCCUCCCGGAUCAAAUACAAAUCUCAUAAACUUAUAGUGCUAUUAUCUCAGCCACAUUUUCACCUUGAGCUUCAAUGCAGAUCUCCCAUUUCCUUACUAGUCGUAUUCCAAGUCUCACUGCAGCAUCACUCAAAUUUUGCCAAAUGGAUGUUCCUAUAUUGUAUUUUUCUCCAACCAGAUUUGCUUCCAUAGGUAACUCAGGCUUGUGAUCAAUGCUCAAUUGAUGAGCAGCCAAAAUUCCAUGCUCAUGUAUUGUUCCGAUAUUAAUGAAUCCAGAUCAUUGAGUAUAAGGAACAAUUGAGCAGCUUUAGAUAUAUGCUUUAACUCUUCUUCUGUUGUCGGUUCCAUCUUCAUCAAAAUCUGAAUUGACUUUAGUACUUAGUAGGGAGCUCGAUACCUGUUGCCCAGCUAGAUACUUUUGCAGCAUCAAAAUCCAUUUCCCUCAUCAUCACAAGAGCAUGACAUGUAUCCCCCAAUCCAUCCAGAAACACCUUAACCUCCAGGUGAGAUUUAAUAGAGUUUAUACAUUGUUCAACUUUGAUUAGCUCCAAUAACAUGCUCAUUGUUGUCUCGCUAACCAUUUCAUAACACUUCAACCCUUCUAUAGUACGCUCGCUCUUCAACACACAAACAGGUCUCAUUUUUAUUACAAAAAAUCAAAACUUUCCACUCAUUGAACACAUUGUCAGCCCUUCUAAUUCCAUCAGCAUUAUAAGAUUUUGACAUCUUUAGUUGUUUGUUGUCUUUCAAAAUUAAAUUUGACAACUCACUAACAGGAAUAGAGGUAUUUAGAAUGUCACCUUAUCAUUUUCUGCAGGUACAGCCAAAAAAAGUUGGAAGACUGCGACAAAAUUAGAUCAUCUCGCUGCGACAUAUCUUGAAACACUUCAAGGGCAACAUUCAUCUGCACUUUACAAAAUCUGAAAACAGAUAAUUGUUGCAUUCCCCUCUCUUCAUAGACCCCAAUAAUAUUAAUAGGUGUCACAUUUUCUGAACUCAAUUUGGGUUUUGUUGUUCCAACAUUGAUAAUCUGACCAUAAUCAUCGGUGGUUCGGGGUUAGGCUCAGUAAUGUAUACAUGACAUUUAUCAAUGAGUUGAUUUUCGACAUAUAAACCUUCAAUCCCCAUAUCUUGGCUGAUUUGUGAGAUGCAUAUUUGUUCAAAUGAAUCCACACCAGCCAAGCCAAGAUAUGUAAUGAUAGGAAAACACCAAUGUCAUUUUUCUCAAAUCUGGGUGCAUUCUUGUCCAAAUUUCUAAUUGGAAUUUUAUCAAACACCUGGGAUACGGUUGCUCCUUCUGUAUCGUUAUUAUAAAAAAAUUCAACUUCAUCACUUGUUAUGGCCCCUUGGGUAACAUACUCAUCCGGUGGCCCUGGACUAAGCUCUUCAACAAAUUCAUUUACAAAAACAUGUGAGCACUCUUUUAUGCCUUGAUAAUUUGCAUCCUUAACAAUAUGAUUUGCUUGAUUAGCAUUUAUCAAUUUCACAUUGUCAGUUGUUGAAUCUGGAUUCCCUUGGAUUGACCAUUCUCGACAAUUUCUUAUUAGUAUUCUAGCUUUCGUUCAUCAUCAACAGGCCCUCGUGAUCUCCCACCGGUGAACAAAUAAAUCAUUAUCUUGCUGAAUCUGCAAUUGGUUUUGAUAGCCCUUUUCCUCUUCAAACUCCACAACCGCACCAUCAAGAUCGUCAUAGUCCGACACCAUGGUCUUCGUUGAUACACAGAAGCAGUCCUCUUCUUAAGUUCCUGCUCUGGAUUUGGGAAAAUUUUGUUUGUAUCUUGAAAGUACUGAUCGGACCACAUCUUCAUAGAAUCAAAAAAUUGCUUUGCAAAUUUAUGGAGAGCGGUCUUGAUAGGGUCUGGAUGCUCUCAAUGAAAGCCAUUGUUGAACAAUUUAGAGAGGAGAAGAUAGAUUAGAAACAAAUUGUAUUUUUCCAUUCAUCGGCCCAAACCAUUUAACU
rnacentral:lncRNA from 1 species